rnacentral:rRNA from 1 species
UACGUAGGUGGCGAGCGUUGUCCGGAUUUAUUGGGCGUAAAGAGCGUGUAGGCGGUUCGGUAAGUCUGUCGUGAAAUCCUGAGGCUCAACCUCGGGCGUGCGAUGGAUACUGCCGGGCUAGAGGGUGGUAGAGGCGAGUGGAAUUCCCAGUGUAGAGGUGAAAUUCGUAGAUAUUCGGAAGAACACCAGUGGCGAAGGCGACUUACUGGACGAUUGUUGACGCUGAGGCGCGAAAGCGUGGGGAGCAAACAGG